UACUCCUACGGGAGGCAGCAGUGGGGAAUAUUGGACAAUGGGCGAAAGCCUGAUCCAGCCAUGCCGCGUGUGUGAAGAAGGUCUUCGGAUUGUAAAGCACUUUAAGUUGGGAGGAAGGGCAUUAACCUAAUACGUUAGUGUUUUGACGUUACCGACAGAAUAAGCACCGGCUAACUCCGUGCCAGCAGCCGCGGUAAU
rnacentral:rRNA from 1 species